UGGCCACAUUAUGUUGAAACACUUGUUCCUGUACGAUCACUAAAGUUAAGCAACAUUGAGCCUGGUUAGUACCUAGAUGGGUGACUACUUGGUAAUAG